UCGAAGGCUGCUUCACGGCUAACGAACGCUGAAAAUUUUUCGAUUGUUCGGGAGAAGCAUCGUUUACCACCAAAGAGACCAAAAAAGCAAUUUCGUUCUUCGAGACUUCAUUGUGUUCAAAUCGCCAAGAUACAAGUCUGAUUCUGAAGCACGUUAAUUAAUCGUUUAAACGUUAUAUUAAAAAGAAAAAAAAAAAACAAAAAAAGUAAUAUGAUAAAUUGAUGAUGUGCCGCUGAUGUGAGAGGAAAUUAUAUAAUUAAUCGCAAGUUUUUUCUAUGGAAAUUUAGAUUAAUUGAUUACUUCAUUAUUCAACAAUCUCAUUUCAUGGAAAAAUAUAUAUACAUAUAUUAUACAUAAAAUGAAAGAGGAUAAAAGAAGAAUGGAGGAAAGGGAAGAACAACGAUAGAAGUGAUGCUUAAAAUUUGCGAUUUGGAAACGAUCAAGUGAAUCACGUGUGUAUGUAAGUAGCUUGGAGCGGCCUUGUUAUAAUCAACAAACACCCUGCAGACAUUCGCAGAAUAUUUUUAGUCGGGUCUCGAUGCACCCGAUUCACUUGCCAGUAAUAACAUUUAAACGAAUAAAUUCUCACACUAACGUAUAUCUAUCACCGCAUGAUGUAUUUGCACAUAUCUUCGAAAUAUUAAGUAGUAGCUGUAAAAACAAAUGUUGGAGGAAAAAUGAGAGAGGGAGGAGGAGAGGAUAUUUUGAAAAGUGGAACAGUGUGACGAGAGUCGAUGCUCGAAGAGGAGGCUUCUUAACCGAACAGAAUAAUCAUAUCCAAUUGACAUUUUGAUUCUCUGAAACGAGAAAGAACUCAAGAACUCAAACGAGUUACAAUUUACUUCAUUGAACCAUGUUUAAGAUAACAAUGAUAAUUUAGCAUUACCUUGAAUAAUUUCUUUCACAUCCAUCUAUAAAUCAUGUAAUCAUAGCAUAGAAGAGCACAGUUACUUUCAAAUAUCGAGUUCCUGCUAAAUUAUCACGACAAUGUCUUGUCAAUAUUCUGUCUGUGUUCGAGAUGAGACAAGUUUUCAAAAAGAGGAAAAAAAUAAAAAAAAAAAAGGAUGAGAAAUGGCUGAAUAGAAGGAAGUCUAUAUAUAUAUAUAUAGACUUAUUCUGGUAAAUAUAAUAUUUGGAUAGUAUAAAAAAAAGAUAAAAUAUAAAAAAAACGAUCGCACCAAGUCGAUCUCAAUCGAGAUAACUUUAUGUACGUUCUAAUUAAGCUAGUGAAUUUUACGAGCGACGAUAUAUUUCAUAAAAUAUUUUUAUGAUCGACGAAAUUAUUUGAGGAGAGAAUUUAAGAAACAAAGCGAGAAGAAAGAUAAAUGACGAUUACGAUAUGCGCUUGGAUCGAGUACAGGACUUUACCUGCUUCAUUGGAACACCAAGAUUCGUUGAUUCUUACGACAUAUCCUCGUUUCCAUUGAGGAUAGGAAACUCGAAACUUCGAAACCUAUAUAAUAUUAUCUUGAUUAAUACUUAAUUUCACUUUCAUCAAGG